AUACUUUACUUAGUAGAGAAAACACCAUGAUCAAGAAGGUGGUGCACCCAGGGUGAGGCUCAGCUGUUGCACUCCGGAUGUGCUGACCUCUACGAAUUCUCCAAAUGUGGGAAUCUUGACUGCAUAAUUUCUGGUAGUGGGGGACUGCGUUCGUGCUUUCACCUG